CGCCAGACUCCUACGGGAGGCAGCAGUUAGGAAUAUUCGUCAAUGGGGGAAACCCUGAACGAGCAAUGCCGCGUGAAGAAUGACGGUCCUAUGGAUUGUAAACUUCUGUUGUUAGGGAAGAACGACCUAAGUAGGAAAUGACUUAGGAGUGACGGUACCUUUCAAGAAAGCUCCGGCUAACUACGUGCCAGCAGCCGCGGUAAUACGUAGGGAGCAAGCGUUGUCCGGAUUUACUGGGUGUAAAGGGUGCGUAGGCGGCUUUGCAAGUCAGAAGUGAAAUCCAUGGGCUUAACCCAUGAACUGCUUUUGAAACUGCAGAGCUUGAGUGGAGGAGAGGUAGGCGGAAUUCCCGGUGUAGCGGUGAAAUGCGUAGAGAUCGGGAGGAACACCAGUGGCGAAGGCGGCCUGCUGGGCUCUAACUGACGCUGAGGCACGAAAGCGUGGGUAGCAAACAGGAUUAGAUACCCCUGUA
rnacentral:rRNA from 1 species